AUUCAUAUCAUGAUGCUUACAUAAAACAAAUUCUCACAUCUAACCAUAAAACUUAAUCACUAGAUUUUUCUUCUCCCUUUGAAACCCUAGCGUAGCUCUUAUACCUUUCACAUCUUUCAUCCUUUUCAUAUCUCAUCGUGCUAAAUCUCAUAACAUGACUUACCUUUUUUUGGAUAUGUAAACCAAAAUCUUCAAUCAUUGAGAUCAAUAUGAACAUCAACUUGCGCUUGAUCGAGAGAUUCUAAAGAUGAAGAUUCAAGAAAUUAAAGGUGUGGAAGCAACAAAGGAAGAUGAAACUAACUUUGCUUUGUGGGAGGCAAUUAGAGAUAUGGAUGCAAACAAGCACCAGAAGCAUGAUGAGGGAUUAGAUUGUCUACCAGACGAACUUCUUCAAGAGAUUAAAUUCUAUAUGUAUGAUUAAAUUCUACAAAUUUAGGUUUGGAUGCAUUAAUUUUGUACAUUGUGGUUUUCGUGGUUCAUAAAGAUUAAAACAAGUUAGGUUUUGAUCAUAUAAACUUAGAGUUAGUUUUGGACAGAAGUUUUAAUGGUCUGCGUCAUUGAAAUAAAAGUUUAAGGCCUAGUGAAAUUGUAUUAUAAA